GCCACUCUUUUCUCUCUUUUUAGAGUGUCCACAUCAGCAUCUUUUUAAUGUUUGUGGGCCCCACGUUUUUGUCUGUUUGAUCUGAUAAUUAAGUUUUCUCGUGUGGUUUAGAGUUGGUUUGAUGAUUUAGCCGUCUGAUUUUGGUACACGCGUUCGUUUGUUUAUUUAGCCGGUAUAGGAAAGUCUGGUCACUUAACAAAACACUGCGUUUUGUGUUUGAGGGUUUCAUUGUUAUUUCUUCUACUCUUCAAUCUCGCCGUUUCAGCUAUAAGAUUUCUCUGCAAAUACAAUGUUUUUCCCUGUGAUCUCUUAAUCUUCCAUUUAGUUCAACGUAUUCCUCUUAGUUUCGCCAAUCAAUAUUUUUCUCAUUAAAUUCAAUAACGACCUUUCUGUUUCUUUCACGUUAAACCUAUAAAUUGGAGAGGGGAGUCGGAUGAACCUUCACCAUCACUCUCAGUUAAACUUCUUAAUCAAGCGCAGAAAUAUUAUUCGAUAAUGUCUUCUGAUGUUGUUGUUGCCCAAUCAGUCGUCGGUGCUUUCCGCCUCCGUAGAUCGUUGCUGCUCGGUUUCUCUAUUUUUGGGACCCGGAAAACAUCAAGAAAAAUGGUGAAUUCAUGGGGAUCACUCUACUUCUCAUCAGACCCAUGAUGAUGAUAUCCUGUUAAGGCUUGGAUCGUCGGUGUUCUCCAGAAAAUGGCUGCCCUUACGUUGCUUGCACCGGUUGCAGCAGGCGAUUGGACAAAUGCGAGACCUCUCUCUGGUACAUCAGGAAGGAAAGUUUCACCAAAAGUCACUGAGGUCAUCAGGUUCUCUGUCGAGUUGGCUAUUGACGAUAGCCGAUGACAGUGCUACGUUUGUGGUGUUCUAGACAGAGAUGACCAAACAAACCAACAAAGAAGCAACCAGACUGGCUCUUGGUGAGACUAAUGGUGGUGACGGGUUCAGAGCUACCAAGAUGCCUAGAAGAACUAGCUGUGGAAGCAAUGUAUGUUCCAAAUUCAUGUCACACCUCACACCUCACACCUCACACCUCACACCUCACAACCACACACCCAACCAUGUCUCUGCAAGCACUGAAGAUGUGGUCCUCAACACUCAUUCAGAGUUUGAUUAGACUAAGCUUUAAUUAAUUGAAGCUGGUUUUCUGUAAAGAGUCGGGCAGUAUCAACUAAGUAAUAAAAGCAUACACUUGCUCUUUUUUUUUAACAAAUCCCACACAUACUCUUUGUAGUUGCAUAAAGUGUAGAGAGAAACAAUUUAUACGACAACUAGAACAAGAAGAAACACUGUCUUUCAACUCUUUAAUUAUGUGUCGCCUUAUGGACCAAACGUUUAAGAUUUUUUUUCAUUUUCAACACUUAUUAUUAGUUGCGCCUUCUAAUUCUAUGCUGAAGGGCUACAAAUAAUAACUUAUUUGAUCGUUAAAAAGACUUUUCAUUAACAUCACAUGUACAAAAUCCACAAAACUUAAACAAUACCUAAACAAAUCUCAACACAAGUGUAAAAUACACAGCGGUAACUGAAACUUUUAACAUCGACUCUUUGCAACAGAACAGCCCCAAACAACAUUACUAAGCCCCUCAUCGUCAUCUACUUAUGGAAAUAAAAGACACUAAAAAUUAAAGUCCCCGCGCUUGCGCGGGGGGCCAGCCCCUAGUUAGAUAAAAGCUGGAGCUGAUUUUUGGACUUUAGAGAACUGAUGGUGAUGAAACGUCAAGCGUAACAAUAUUAAUUUUCUA